rnacentral:rRNA from 1 species
ACUGGUAGUUAUGGCGGGAAGGUCCCGCCCGUUCCCAUCCGUACCACGGUAGUUAAGCUUCUCUGCGCCAAUGGUAGUUGGGGGCUUCCCCCUGCGAGAGUAGGUCGCUGCCGGGC